rnacentral:misc_RNA from 1 species
GCAUUCUGGGGGCUGUUUCGGCUUUUGGUUGCUUGCUUGGCCUUUUGGUUGGGUGGGUCGCUACUUGUCGGGCRGCUUUCGGGAAUGUCGACCGGGGAGGUGCAUGAGUGGUGUUUGGUUUGUUACGUGUGGUUGGCUGUUUGCUUGCGCAACAACGAUCACGCUGCAUACCUUUUCAGUUUUGCGUCAAGACUCGGUUUGUCUUGAGCAUAUUGUGGGUUUCCUGUGUUGCAUACCUAACCGAUGGUAACGUGUGGGUUUAAUGAUGUCCCUCUUUGUCAUGCGUCGUUCAUGYGGCGUGGGAUGAACAAUGAAGCGGUCUUUGUGAUCCACCGUUUUGUUGCGUUUGCAACAAUGAUGUGGCCUAUGAAGCAUCGUUUGGUCUCUUGUAUACGGUACYUGAUGUGGGCUAGGGUCUUUAUAAGAUCUUGAUUUAGCCCUUGCUAAGCGUUCUUGCUUCUUCAAAACGAUUGCCUGCCAUGUUUCGGCUUGUCCUUGCAUGGUGGGCUACGUCGA